rnacentral:lncRNA from 1 species
AGCUGGUGGCAAGUGAGGCCCCAGGGUUCACAGUUGCUGUAGCGUGAAGCUGUGCCAGGCGCUUAGGGUGCUGAGAUAACUAAGGCUCAGUCCCUAUGCUCCAGGAUGAAGACCCAUCUCAGUGGAGGGCCCUGCCCUGGCUAAGGAACCAAGAGACCAGAACCCAGUGGGAGAGGCCAGGAAUGGCCUGUGAAGCUGGAUUGAGAAAAACAGAGGCAGUGGCCAUUUGUCUAGAAAAACUGGUAGACUAGGUGGCCCAGGAGGCAUCAGGCAGACACAACCCAGCAUGCAAGCAGCAGGAGGCCUGAGGAUGGAGCUGCCAGGUGUUUAUCCAGGCUCCCAACAAAAAUCUUUGCUGGAACUGUAGAACACCCACCUUUGUUUUGAAAAUCUUAAAUUCUCUUGUGUUCUUCCUGGGUGACCUCAAGCAAGUCACUUAACCUCUCUGAUCCUGUUUCCUCUUAUAGAAAAUGGGGAUAGU